UGGGGAAUAUUGGACAAUGGGCGGAAGCCUGAUCCAGCAACGCCGCGUGAGGGAUGACGGCCUUCGGGUUGUAAACCUCUUUCAGUACCGACGAAGCGAAAGUGACGGUAGGUACAGAAGAAAGGACCGGCCAACUACGUGCCAGCAGCCGCGGUAAUACGUAGGGUCCGAGCGUUGUCCGGAAUUAUUGGGCGUAAAGGGCUCGUAGGCGGUUUGUCGCGUCGGGAGUGAAAACAGCGGGCUUAACUCGUUGCUUGCUUUCGAUACGGGCAGACUAGAGGUAUGCAGGGGAGAAUGGAAUUCCUGGUGUAGCGGUGAAAUGCNCAGAUAUCAGGAGGAACACCGGUGGCGAAGGCGGUUCUCUGGGCAUUACCUGACGCUGAGGAGCGAAAGUGUGGGGAGCGAACAGGAUUAGAUACCCUGGUAGUCCACACCGUAAACGUUGGGCGCUAGGUGUGGGGUCCUUUCCACGGAUUCCGUGCCGUAGCUAACGCAUUAAGCGCCCCGCCU
rnacentral:rRNA from 1 species